AUGAGUGUGGGGCGUCGAAGAGUAAAGUUGCUGGGCAUCCUGAUGAUUGCAAAUGUCUUCUUCAUUUAUUUGAUUGUGGAAGUCUCCAAAAACAGUAGCCAAGAAAAAAAAUGAAAAGAGAGUCAAGGGAGCAGUGAUAAAACGAAAGAGAAGUUCUGGAAGCUGCCCAGCCCUCCCGAGUUGUACUGGAACAGGGAACAGGGAAAGCUGAACAUCUGGUACAAUCCCAUCCUGAACACGGUAGCCAAUCAGACAGGGGAUCUAUACACAUCUCCAAAUACAAGUCACCUGAACUAUUGUGAACCGAACUCAAUGGUCAUGACAGCUGUGACAGAUUUUAACAAUCUGUCGGACACAUUUAAAGACUUUCUCUUGUAUUUGACAUGCGGGAAUUACUUGCUGCUUAUAGAUCAAUUGAAGAAAUGUGCAAAGAAGCCCUUCUUACUAUUAAAAAUUCCCUCAUUCCACGUUUUGCCAGAAGGCAAGCAAUUCGGGAACCUUGGGGCCAAGAAACCAACAUAAGGAACCAGACAGUAGUGAGGGCCUUCCUGCUGGGCAAGACACCCCCAGAGGACAGGCACCCUGACCUUUCGGACAUGCUCAAGUUCGAGAGUGAGAAGCACCAGGACAUCCUCAUGUGGAACUACAGAGACACAUUCUUCAACCUGUCCCUGAAGGAAGUGCUGUUUCCCAGGUGGGUGAGCACUUCCUGUCCAGAUGCAGAGUUUGUCUUCAAGAGCAAUGACAACAUGUUUGUGAACACCCAUCACAUCCUUAAUUACUUAAACAGCUUAUCCAAGAGCAAAGCCAAAGACUUGUUCAUAGAUGACAUGCUCCACAAUGCUGGGCCUCAUUGGGAUAAGAAACUGAAGUGCUACAUCCCAGAAGUCUUCUACACUGGGGUCUACCCACCAUAUGCGGGGGGGGGGGGGGGGGGGGGGGGGGGCAGAUUCCUGUACUCCGGCCCCCUGGCCUUGAGGCUGUAAAUAUAACUGACAGGGUCCAUCUCUACCCCACUAACAACGUUUAUACUAGAGUGUGCCUUCAGAAACCUGGUCUCCUUCCAGAGAAACACAAAGGCUUCAGGACAUUUGAUAUUGAAGAGAAAAAUAAGAAAAAUAUUUGUUCAUAUAUUGAUCUAAUCUUAGUACAUAGCAGAAAAACCUCAAGAGAUGAUUGAUAUCUGGUCUCAGUUGCAAAGUCCUAAUUUAAACUGCUAA